rnacentral:rRNA from 1 species
GACGAACGCUGGCGGCGUGCCUAAUACAUGCAAGUCGAGCGGACCCUUCGGGGUCAGCGGCGGACGGGUGAGUAACACGUGGGUAAUCUGCCCAACUGACUGGAAUAACGCCUGGAAACGGGUGCUAAUGCCGGAUAGGCAACUGGUAGGCAUCUACCGGUUGGGAAAGGUGCAACUGCACCGCAGAUGGAGGAGCCCGCGGCGCAUUAGCUAGUUGGUGGGGUAACGGCCUACCAAGGCGACGAUGCGUAGCCGACCUGAGAGGGUGGACGGCCACACUGGGACUGAGACACGGCCCAGACUCCUACGGGAGGCAGCAGUAGGGAAUCUUCGGCAAUGGGCGAAAGCCUGACCGAGCAACGCCGCGUGAGCGAAGAAGGCCUUCGGGUUGUAAAGCUCAGUCAUUCGGGAAGAGCGGGUAGGAGAGGGAAUGCUCCUGCCGAGACGGUACCGGAAGAGGAAGCCCCGGCUAACUACGUG